rnacentral:rRNA from 1 species
UAAUGGCCUACCAAGGAGACGACGAGUAGCCGGCCUGAGAGGGCGACCGGCCACACUGGGAGUGAGACACGGCCCAGACUCCUACGGGAGGCAGCAGUGGGGAAUAUUGCGCAAUGGGCGAAAGCCUGACGCAGCGACGCCGCGUGAGGGAUGACGGCCGCCGGGUUGUAAACCUCUUUCAGCACUGACGAAGCACAAGUGACGGUAGGAGCAGAAGAAGCACCGCCCAACUACGUGUCAGCAGCCGCGGUAAUACGUAGGGUGCAAGCGUUGUCCGGAAUUAUUGGGCGUAAAAGCUGGUAGGCGGUCUGUCGCGUCGAAUGUGAAAAUAAUUUUGGUCUUAAACGGACCUGCAUUCGAUACGGGCAGAAUAGGGUUCGGUAGGGGAGUCUUGAAUUCCUGGUGUAGCGGUGAAAUG